CCUACGGGAGGCAGCAGUAGGGAAUCUUCCACAAUGGACGAAAGUCUGAUGGAGCAACGCCGCGUGAGUGAAGAAGGGUUUCGGCUCGUAAAGCUCUGUUGGUAGUGAAGAAAGAUAGAGGUAGUAACUGGCCUUUAUUUGACGGUAAUUACUUAGAAAGUCACGGCUAACUACGUGCCAGCAGCCGCGGUAAUACGUAGGUGGCAAGCGUUGUCCGGAUUUAUUGGGCGUAAAGCGAGUGCAGGCGGUUCAAUAAGUCUGAUGUGAAAGCCUUCGGCUCAACCGGAGAAUUGCAUCAGAAACUGUUGGACUUGAGUGCAGAAGAGGAGAGUGGAACUCCAUGUGUAGCGGUGGAAUGCGUAGAUAUAUGGAAGAACACCAGUGGCGAAGGCAGCUCUCUGGUCUGCAACUGACGCUGAGGCUCGAAAGCAUGGGUAGCGAACAGGAUUAGAUACCCCAGUAGUC
rnacentral:rRNA from 1 species